rnacentral:rRNA from 1 species
UACGUAGGGGGCAAGCGUUGUCCGGAUUUACUGGGCGUAAAGGGCGCGUAGGCGGCCAGCACAAGUCAGUUGUGAAAUCUCCGAGCUUAACUCGGAAAGGUCAACUGAUACUGUGCGGCUAGAGUGCAGAAGGGGCAACUGGAAUUCUCGGUGUAGCGGUGAAAUGCGUAGAUAUCAGGAGGAACACCGGUGGCGAAGGCGGGACUCUGGGCCGAUACUGACGCUGAGGAGCGAAAGCGUGGGGGAGCGAACAGG